AAAGGGAGACCUAGCCCCUCUAAUUUGAAAGAUGUUUGAUUGAGAGCAGACGAAAGUCGGUUGUCGAGAGAUGUUGAGUAAGAGAAGAGAGAGGUCACUCAAAGGUCGAGCCGGUAUUUAGUGGACUUCUAAACUAUUGAUUGGUUCGGAUCUCUAUCCGAAUUGUGGGCUAUUAGCUCAGGUGGUUAGAGCGCACCCCUGAUAAGGGUGAGGUCCCUGGUUCGAGUCCAGGAUGGCCCACCUAAAUGAUUAGGGGGUUUAGCUCAGUUGGUAGAGCGCCUGCUUUGCAAGCAGGAUGUCAGCGGUUCGAGUCCGCUAACCUCCACUGAGUGUAAGAGCUCACCGAGAGUGAAUCAUCAAUUCACGAGUCUAAUUCAGCAACUGUUUUAGAAGUCACCUGUAUUUGAAGAGGUGAGUGCUAGAUAGCCUGCUGGAUUUAUCCAGUCAGAACCUUGAAAACUGCAUAAUAACUUGUCAGGUAGUAGACCCGAGACGAGAAACGAGCAAAGCGCAAGCGAGUGAGUUUUUAGUUGAGGAAAUACACAGACAUCAAUAUUUGCCAAGAAUUAGU
rnacentral:tRNA from 1 species